UCUGCCUGCCUGAGUGAUGGAGCCAGGCUCCCUUGUUCCUUGGGGCAAGGAUCCAGUACAGGGAUAGAGAAUCACAGUGUUUCCUAGCUGCAAGGGCCAUUGGAGAUGGUUUUACAGAUGAGGAAGCAGGGUCCAGAGAAAGGCAGUGAUCUGGGAACCACUGUACUUUUCAUACAAGCAACCUUCCGGACAUCUGCUAUGUGCUGUCCCAGCAUGGUGAGGGGCCCCAUGUACGGUAAUGGGAUCUGCAGAGGAGUGCUGCGCCCCAGCCUGCUAUCUGCAGGAGCCCGAGUGGGGUUCUGCGUAGUCUCAGGUCGCCAGCAAUGAUUUUCACAGCGUGACUGUGGUGUCUCAGGACCCUGGGACCCAGGACCGCCAUCGUGACCACCUUCCUAGUCUUCACUGCUUCCUUUACACCUCAACUCCAAAGACCUCUCUGAGCUGCACGCAGUUCUGGGCUCUCGGAGUGGCAGAGGUCUUGGGUGCCACGAGAGCACCAUGCUCAGCCUCCCCUGACCCUGACUCAAACAAAACUAUUAGAUGCAUCCCCUACCCUAUCUAUCUGUCUGAGGACUCUCAGAACCUUUCCACUGGUGGGAAUGUAAAGUCAUGCAGCCCUGUGGAAAGGAGUUUGGCAAUUCCUCAAAAGUAUAUUAUAUAGAAUGACUGUAUGACCCAGCAACUCCCCUCCUAGGCACAUGCCCAAAAGAAUGGAAAGCAAGGACUCAAAUACUGGUGCAUGCAUGCUUAUGGGAGCAUUUUCCACACCAGCCAAAGGUGGAAACAGAUGUCUGUCGGCAGAUGAAUGGCUAGGCAAGGUGUAGUAUAUACAUAGAAUGAAAAACUAUUCAGCUAUAAAAAGGAAUGGAAUUCUGAUACAUGCAACAACAUGGAUGAACUUCAGAAACAUGCUAGGCCUCUAAGCUAAGCUAACAUGCUAAGAAGCCAGAUACUGAAGGUCACAUUGUAUGAUUCUGUUUAUAUGAAAUACCUGGAAAGAGACAGAAAGCAGAUCAAUGGCUGCCAGGGCCUGGGAGGAGUGAUUGCUUCGUGGGUAUGGGUUUUCCCUUUGAGGUGAUGAAAAUAUUCUGCAACUAAAUAGAGGUAGUAGAUGCACAACACGGUGAAUGUUGGUCUUGAACUCCUGACCUAAAGUGCUACUAAACUGUGUGCUUUAAAAUGGUUAAUUUUAUGUUGUGUGAAUUUCACCUCUAAGAAUUUUUUUUUUUUUUUUUGAAACUGAGUCUCACUCUGUUACCCAGACUGGAGUGCAGUGGCGUAAUCUCAGCUCACUACAACCUCCGCCUCCCGGGUUCAAGCGAUUCUCCUGCCUCAGCCUCCCAAGUAGCUGGGACUACAGGCGCCUGACACCACACCAAAUUAAUUUUUGUAUUUUUAGUAGAGACGGGGUUUCGUCAUGUUGGCCAGGCUGGUCUUGAACUCCUGACCUCAAGUGAUCUGCCCACCUCAGCCUCCCAAAGUGCUGGGAUUACAGGUAUGAGGCACCGGUCCUGGCCUAAGAAAAAAA